rnacentral:lncRNA from 1 species
AUGCUGUGUCGCACGACACCCAGGCUCACACACGUGUCACACGGCACCCAGGCUCACACAUGCUAUAUCACACGGCACCGAGCUCACACACGUGUCACACGGCACCCAGGCUCACACGUGUCACACGGCACCGAGCUCACACACGCAUGCUGUGUCGCACGACACCCAGGCUCACACAUGUGUCACACGGCACCCAGGCUCACACACGUGUCACACGGCACCGAGCUCACACAUGCUAUAUCACAUGGCACUGAGCUCACACACGCAUGCUGUGUCGCACGACACCCAGGCUCACACACGUGUCACACGGCACCCAGGCUCACACACAUGUCACACGGCAGCGAGCUCACACACGCAUGCUGUGUCGCAUGGCACCCAGGCUCACACACGUGUCACACAGCACCCAGGCUCACACACGCUGUAACACACGGCCCCCAGGCUGUAUCACACAGCACCGAGCUCACACACGUGUCGCACGGCACCCAGGCUCACACACGCUGUGUCACACGGCAUCAAGCUCACACACGUGUUGCAUGGCACCCAGGCUCACACGCUGUGUCACACGGCACCAAGCUCACACACGUGUUGCAUGGCACCCAGGCUCACACAUGCAUGCUGUGUCACACGGCACCGAGGGGUCGUCCCCAGCUGAGGCACAUGUGGGGAGCUUCCCUGUGCCCCCAGCCUCCCGGUACAGACGCCUCACCUAUAGCCCUUGCUCUGGAAAGGGGAGGGGACGUCAGAUGCUCCCCCGGCUCCAAGUCCCCCAGGACAGGACAGCCCCUCCCUGCAGGAUGCACAGGGCCCAGGAACCACGGCUGCACACUCCAGCUGCACACUCUGACAGGCAGCAGCUCUGGGACGCACUCGGCACUGGUGACAGAAACGACCCCCCGACCACCACCACUGCAGAGCGCCCAUCUGCACACAGACCCCACAGCUCAGUCCCCUGGCCUGGAGAAGUGGGGAGGGGCAGUGGUCAGAAAUGACCCCCCCCACCACCACCACAGAGCGCCCAUCUGCACACAGACCCCACAGCUCAGUCCCCUGGCCUGGAGAAGUGGGGAGGGACAGUGGUCAGAAAUGACCCCCACCCACCGCAGAGCGCCCAUCUGCACACAGACCCCACAGCUCGGUCCCCUGGCCUGGAGAAGUGGGGAGGGACAGUGGUCAGAAAUGACCCCCACCCACCACAGAGCGCCCAUCUGCACACAGACCCCACAGCUCGGUCCCCUGGCCUGGAGAAGUGGGGAGGGACAGUGGUCAGAAAUGACCCCCCACCACCACCACCACAGAGCGCCCAUCUGCACACAGACCCCACAGCUCGGUCCCCUGGCCUGGAGAAGUGGGGAGGGGCAGUGGUCAGAAAUGACCCCCCACCCACCGCAGAGCGCCCAUCUGCACACAGACCCCACAGCUCGGUCCCCUGGCCUGGAGAAGUAG